CGGAGCUGCGGCCAGAACUUGCACGGGGGCGGGGCAGGGUCUUUCCAAGGCGCCUGCGCUAAGCCGGCUUCUCGGCGCCAUUUUGUCUGGGCAGCAGUGGCCGCAGCGCUAGCGCAUUUUAUGUUUCUGGCAAGACAAGAGCGGAGUCGUUACCCCGUAGAUUCGUCUCAGUGCGGCACCCGUUCACCGUUCCCUCCAGGACAGCACCUGGUGAAGGUCAGAGGAGUCGCGGACCUGUCCAAAGUUGAUCUGAAGAAAACAGGACUCUCAAUGACAAAUAUCCAAAAGUAUUACUGAGAGUAAGCUUCAUUUUGUGGAACAAUGAAGGAAGGUGUUCUAGUUUUAAAAGACCUGGAUCUGCUAUCUGUUGAGAACUCUGUUUCUGGUCCCUCUAGGAACGACAGCGGGGAAAAAGCACAAAUGGAUAAUCUAAUCAGAUAAGUGAUUUUUCCCCCUAUGGUAUAAAUACGUUUUAUUUGUAAUCUGUAAACCAAAACUUUGUUCUUUAAAACGUUUUUGAUUUUUUUUUUUAGGUGCCAGUAUCAAGGCGGCUUACAGUAAUAAGGUACUCCGUCUUUUCUGAAAAUAAAUUUGCAGUCUUGUCAAAGUAAAA